CAAAGGUUUGGUCCUGGCCUUCCUAUUAGUUAUUGACAGAAUUACACAUGCAAGCCUCCACAUCCCGGUGAAGAUGCCCUCUAAAUCUAUUAAACGAUUAUAAAGGAGCGGGCAUCAGGCACACUAAAUAAGUAGCCCAUAACGCCUUGCUCAACCACACCCCCACGGGAUACAGCAGUGAUAAAAAUUAAGCCAUGAACGAAAGUUUGACUAAGCCAUGUUAAUAUUAAGAGUUGGUAAAUUUCGUGCCAGCCACCGCGGUCAUACGAUUAACCCAAAUUAAUAGGCUCACGGCGUAAAACGUGCUAAGGAUUACAAAACACUAAAGUUAAAAUUUAACCAGGCCGUAAAAAGCUACUGUUAAUAUAAAAUAUACCACGAAAGUGACUUUAUCAUCUCCAACAACACGAUAGCUGGGACCCAAACUGGGAUUAGAUACCCCACUAUGCCCAGCCCUAAACACAAACAAUUUACACAACAAAAU
rnacentral:rRNA from 1 species